GGCUUGUUGAUCUAGGGGUAUGAUUCUCGCUUUGGAUGCGAGAGGUCCUGGGUUCAAAUCUGGGACGAGCAC
rfam:Danio rerio chromosome 4, GRCz11 reference primary assembly.